GAUUAUGGCUCAGGAUGAACGCUGGCGGCGUGCCUAACACAUGCAAGUCGAACGGGUCUAUUGUUUGGAGGCUUCGGCCAAAGAGGCUUAGAUUAGUGGCGGACGGGUGAGUAACGCGUGGAGAACCUGCCCUGUACGUGGGGGAUAACAGUGAAGAAAUCACUGCUAAUACCGCAUAAGCGCGACGGGAGCGCAUGCUCCUGUGUAGAAAAACUCCGGUGGUACAGGAUGGCUCCGCGUUGGAUUAGCCAGUUGGCGGGUAACGGCCCAACCAAAGCGACGAUCCAUAGCCGGCCUGAGAGGGUGAACGGCCACAUUGGGACUGAGACACCGGCCCAGACUCCGUACGGGAGGCAGCAGGUGGGGAAUAUUGCACAAUGGGGGGAACCCUGAUGCAGCCGACGCCGCGUGAAGGAUGAAGUAUCUCGGUAUGUAAACUUCUAUCAGCAGGGAAGAUGAUGACGGUACCUGACUAAGAAGCCCCGGCUAACUACGUGCCAGCCGCUGC
rnacentral:rRNA from 1 species